AUUGAACGCUGGCGGCAUGCCUUACACAUGCAAGUCGAACGGCAGCACGGGUGCUUGCACCUGGUGGCGAGUGGCGAACGGGUGAGUAAUGCAUCGGAACGUACCCGGAAGUGGGGGAUAACGUAGCGAAAGUUACGCUAAUACCGCACAUUCUGUGAGCAGGAAAGCGGGGGAUCGCAAGACCUCGCGCUUCCGGAGCGGCCGAUGUCGGAUUAGCUAGUUGGCGGGGUAAAGGCCCACCAAGGCAACGAUCCGUAGCGGGUCUGAGAGGAUGAUCAGCCACACUGGGACUGAGACACGGACCAGACUCCUACGGGAGGCAGCAGUGGGGAAUUUUGGACAAUGGGGGCAACCCUGAUCCAGCCAUGCCGCGUGAGUGAAGAAGGCCUUCGGGUUGUAAAGCUCUUUCGGCUGGGAAGAAAUCGCAUCUCCUAAUACGGGGUGUGGAUGACGGUACCAGCAUAAGAAGCACCGGCUAACUACGUGCCAGCCGCCGCAGUAA
rnacentral:rRNA from 1 species